rnacentral:rRNA from 1 species
CAGCAGCCGCGGUAAUACGUAGGUGGCAAGCGUUGUCCGGAAUUAUUGGGCGUAAAGCGCGCGCAGGCGGUCUCUUAAGUCUGAUGUGAAAGCCCCCGGCUCAACCGGGGAGGGUCAUUGGAAACUGGGAGACUUGAGUGCAGAAGAGAAGAGUGGAAUUCCACGUGUAGCGGUGAAAUGCGUAGAGAUGUGGAGGAACACCAGUGGCGAAGGCGACUCUUUGGUCUGUAACUGACGCUGAGGCGCGAAAGCGUGGGGAGCAAACAGGAUUAGAUACCCUGGUAGUCCACGCCGUAAACGAUGAGUGCUAAGUGUUAGAGGGUUUCCGCCCUUUAGUGCUGCAGCUAACGCAUUAAGCACUCCGCCUGGGGAGUACGGCCGCAAGGCUGAAACUUAAAGGAAUUGGCGGG